AUAAAGAAAAAAUUCAAUCUCUGUGGGGGGUAAUCAAGAAAGAGGUUCGACUUUCUGAUAUCGCCGACUCCAUGGUGGAAAAUGGAAUUCUCUCUUUGGAAAACUUAGAAGAAUUGAAGAUCGCACAUCUCACAGAGAGAGCGAACAGAAAAGUUCCUCCUUAUUCUAACUAAUCAGAAUGAUCAAAAACACUACCAAACUUUCAUUGACGCGAUUCGAAACACCGGACGUCAAGACUUGGCGUCAAGACUUCUAAAUAAAGACAUCAACUACUCUCAUCGUUUUCCAGUCAGCCAACAGAUGUACAAUGAGAGAGCUGGUGCCUAUGAUGGGGGUGCAGAGUCAGGGUAUAUAGGCUCGAACACCUCAACGAGAGAGACCGAAGUUCAACAAUUAACGCCUCGAUUCGAUCCGAGGUUUCAACCAAUAGGAUUGGCACAUUGCAAAAGGGAUUCCUCCCUUUUAGAUAUCCAAAAUAAAAUAAAGUAUGUCCUUACAGAACAAAAGUCCACAGGGAGAAAACUAGAAGUUCUUACAGAAAGCAAUGAAACUAUAGAAAAUCAGAUAGCAGAUAUGUUUGAAUAUAUGAAAACAAGGUUUGAAGCUUUUGAAUCAUACCACAAAGAUAUAAAGAUGGAAAAUGAAGUUCUGAGAAAGCAGAAUAAUGAUCUACUUUAAGAAUGCAGUAAGAAAGAAGAGGAAAUAGACAUUCUUAAGGCUCAGAUACACAUGCCAAUAUCAGAUUUAGAUGAAUCAUACAAAGAGAAAUAUGAAACUUUGCGGGCCACACAAAUUGAACUCAAAAAAACUAUUGAGGAAAAGGGAAAGCGAAUAAAAAGCCAGAACGUGGAAAUCGUCAAUUUUCGUAAAAUAUUUGCUGAUGUGUUUUCUAUUCCCCACUCC